CCUACGGGCGGCAGCAGUGAGGAAUAUUGGUCAAUGGACGAGAGUCUGAACCAGCCCAGUAGCGUGAAGGAUGACUGCCCUAUGGGUUGUAAACUUCUUUUAUAAAGGAAUAAAACGCGGCACGUGUGCCUUUUUGCAUGUACUUUAUGAAUAAGGAUCUGCUAACUCCGUGCCAGCAGCCGCGGUAAUACGGAGGAUCCGAGCGUUAUCCGGAUUUAUUGGGUUUAAAGGGAGCGUAGAUGGGUUGUUAAGUCAGUUGUGAAAGUUUGCGGCUCAACCGUAAAAUUGCAAUUGAUACUGGCAGUCUUGAGUACAGUUGAGGUAGGCGGAAUUCGUGGUGUAGCGGUGAAAUGCUUAGAUAUCACGAAGAACCCCGAUUGCGAAGGCAGCUUGCUAAACUGUGACUGACAUUGAUGCUCGAAAGUGUGGGUAUCAAACAGGAUUAGAUACCCGUGUAGUC
rnacentral:rRNA from 1 species